rnacentral:rRNA from 1 species
UACGUAGGGACCGAGCGUUGUCCGGAAUCAUUGGGCGUAAAGAGCGUGUAGGCGGCCACUUAAGUCCUGCGUGAAAUCUUGCGGCUCAACCGCAAGCGGUCGUGGGAAACUGGGUGGCUAGAGUGCGGGAGAGGAGAGUGGAAUUCCUGGUGUAGCGGUGGAAUGCGCAGAUAUCAGGAGGAACACCGAUUGCGAAGGCAGCUCGCUGGGACGUUACUGACGCUGAGACGCGAAAGCGUGGGGAGCAAACAGG